AGUAACGGCGAGUGAAGCGGGAGGAGCUCAAAUUUAAAAUCUGGCGGUGUAUUCCGUCCGAGUUGUAGUCUAGAGAAGCAUCAUCCGUGCUGGACCAUGUACAAGUCUCUUGGAACAGAGCGUCAUAGAGGGUGAGAAUCCCGUCCUUGACAUGGACUCCCAGUACUUUAUGUUGUGCUCUCAACGAGUCGAGUUGUUUGGGA
rnacentral:rRNA from 1 species